ACUUAUUAUGGUUAUCUAAAGUAAAAUAUAUGAUGUACCACAUACAAGGAGCUACGUAGUGGAGCCAAUGUAUUGAUAAUUUUUCUGACGUUGACUUUUUUGAAGAUAAUUCUACCGACUCUGCAGAUGAAGCCAUACCUUAUUGGAGUGAAUUAUGAAACUGAAAGGUAAUACAAUUUUGGUGAGCAAGAAUCCAAUUUUAAUAACGCAGAGGGCCUCAACAUAUUUAAAUUGCAAAGAAACACAUAACUAGUUUGGACAUUGGUAUCUUUUCUGAAGGGAAAGUGCAUCUAGUUGGAAACAGGUCGUCAAGCCUGUUCCCAUUUACAACGAGGAAAGACAAACUUCUUUGAAAUAGAGUAUGCAAUUACCAAAAAGCUUCAGUGGCUGUUAUUAAAAUUCUUCAACUAUCAACAAUGGACAUAA